CCAGGCAGUGCUGCCAUUCCGCAUUCCAGCAGAUCAACACCGUGGGGUUCGCUUUCACUCCUUAUCCAUUCUGUUAUUACCUACCUUCUUGCACCAUCAGCCAUUAUUUUAUCUAUCGCUGGACUAUGCUGAUCUCCCUCCAUUUCUCUGUCUUCAAGAACUACUUACAACUACUUACAGGCUACAGACAGAUAGGGAUGCGCUUUGAUUCAGAGAAAACCAGAGCGUGCGAAUCAAACCCCGAUGCUAAGCACAACACCAUGUGAUGCUGCAGCAGCACCCAACUCCUUUUAUCCUUUGUAUGACCAAAACUUUCAAUCUACUGAGAAAAUUUUAUUAAUUUAAAAUACCCUUUUAGUGAUGUAAUGCGUCAGAUAGAAGGCUUUAUAGCUAGCAGUUCUAUAAUGGAGAACUUCACCAUUUCCCUAGACAAACUAUUGGUAUAUCACUACCCAUACAAAGAGCACAUAUUGUAUUUCAGAGCAUACCUCAUUGUGGACUAUUAAACCACUUCCCUACGCAAACCAUCUGUAACUCUAUUGGCACAUCACUCCCCAUGUAAAGGGCUCCCAUUGUUCUUCAUAGUACUGUAUACCUCAUUGUCAAUACUAAAUGUUUAAGAGGUAGAGCUGUCAAUCACUUUAGUGAUUAUAUUGCAGCUUGAUGAUAAGUGACUGAUCAUUUAUGCGGCUGAUCAUCUGUGUGACUGAUCAUUUGUGCUUAUGCUUGUGUUUUCUGCGUCUGAUUUUUGUGGCUGUCCGCCCAAUCUAAUACUGUAAUACUGCAGUGGCCCCCGCAGUGGCCCCUGUCUGACCUACAAAUAGAGGACUGAUGCUCUUCCAUUUCACAUUCUUGCCAAUGGCCUGGCAGUGACCAGGUAAGUGUGAAGUCAUCAUUCACGUCAUUUGAGUCAUUCCUUACAGUGCAGUUAACCAAUUCUUCCUGAUUCACAACACGUUCAGCCUCUAACUGCUCUAAGACUGUAAUCUAGUCUCAUCCCUCCUACCAUUAAAUUGCCAUAUGACUUAAUCCAUCUGAGGCCAUACUGAAAUGAAGUGUGUCGAGAUUUUAAAAACAUGUGUAUGUUGCUCCUCUCAACCAAAAUAUUGAUACACUGUUGGACCACUGGUGAACCUGUCCUGGUGUCAGCAAGAUCAAUGUUAUAUCCAAUGUGAUCCGUGCCAUUUUCGGCAGCAGAUACUUAACACAGACAAACGCUGCAAGCAAACCCCAUCCGAGCAGCAGCUAAGCAUCACUGCAUACGACUAGAAACUGUCUCUGGUUCUUUUUCUCCUUUAAAACCUAAACCCAAGCCCUGCUUAUGACUAGCUGAGUAAUCUGUCUAAAUAUAGCCCCCUGUGCUUAGGCCUCAGUUAUGGCUAAGCCUCAGCUGUCAAUCGCCAUGGCAGUGCAAAAUUACUAUGAUGUGACUCUGUGCUCAUGCUAUGUUUCCCAUUGGCUUAUACACUAUCCCAUGGUGAAAGGGUACUGACUUUUCUGCAUAGGUCUGCUACAGUUAAUCUCAUCAUAUUUAGAAAAAUGAUGUAAAUGUCUUUAUGCAUUCCUGUGUUCCUACUUUGCAUUGUCCGUAAUACUUAACUGUGUUCAAGAUAAUUUCACCAUCUCUCCAUCUUGCAUAAGGGCACAGCCAGUACAGGGUAGUAGUGAGACUGGGCCCUAUCCCAGAAAGACAUGGGACCAAUGCAGAAGACAUCUUGCACUGGAGAUCACAUAAUCGCAUCCUAAGGGUAAUUAGGCUAACUAAUCUGCAGAGGAAACCGCUGACAAUAGAGAGAAAACCUGUAAAUUCCAAAUUCCACGGUCAGGGACAGAACUUGAAUCCCACCAGGCCACAGGUGUUCAAGGUAAGUCAUAUACAGUGCCUAGGUGCAAAUAGUUGGCUACAGUUAUAUCAUAUAUUAAUCCAGUGUUCUUUUCAGAGGUGCACGCUUUACACCGUUAAUUAAUCUUUAGUCUUUCUACUAGAAGCAUCAUGAAUCAUUUUUAACUGGGAAGAGGCAGAUGCUGCGUCAGGUGUACAUAACUCUUCUCAGGACUGUCAUCUUGAUGCACCUCCAUGGUGCUGUAAUAUGUUCCAUUGCUCAGGGAAGAAGAAGCCGGGGGUCAGAGGUCUCAGAUGUUCUUGAAUCCCCGUGUGGUGUUCAGAAUGGUCUUUUUGUGCAUGUAUGUGUGACCUGUCCAUUCACAAGCAGAAACGGUGAGACCUAGAAGAUGGAGGUCCUGUCCCACUACCUUCGCCUGAAAGAACCCUCUAUCCCUUUCUGCCACUUGUUGACAUAUAGUCACCUCUGCUGACGUAAAUAGUUUCUAGCCUAUCUGUGUGCGUGUGUGUGUGUCUGUGUGUGUGUGUGUGUGCAUGUUUGCGUGUGUCUCUAUGUGUGGUUCUGUCAGCUCAGGUCACGGUGAUGGCGUGAGCCCUAGAGGGCUGCAGGCCUGCAGGGUGGACUUAUGCUCAUCAGCAGCAUUAGGCCAUGCUGAGGUGAUGUUUGACCCCCUGGGAGAAGAGGGACCUUGCCUGGACCAUCACCAGGUCAGAAGAAGAUCACAAGUACCACCCACAUUAUAUCAAUCACUUCUGAAAUUGGGGGGCCUUCUUUUAUGCUUAUAGUACGUGUCACUUUGGGCCUAUUAAGUCUUCUCACAAUAGAGUAACCCCCCUGAAAUGGAGGGGUGAGCGAAGAACAAAGAAUCUUUCUGUUAUUUUUUCCCCUCCACAAUGCACCUGUGCAAGGAGCUUAAUUAUAUCCCAGAACAGGGGUAUUAUGGUAAAACCACAGGGGUAUUAUGGUAAAACCACAGGGGUGAGAUGCAGCAACAAUGAGCAUCAACGGAACCAUGAUUCUGGCAACUUGGGAAUGUAACGUGACAAAGGGCGCCCUUCACACAAGGGCUGGUGUGGUGGAAGGGCUGACAGGCUCCUCCCUCUAGAGGUUAACCUUCCGGUUAAGAUCACAUGGUAAAACUAGGGCAUGGGGAAGACCGAGAUGAAGACCAGAUGAAGGGAGGGAUGUACAGACCAACAGGGAGAGUUAGGGACGGCAACUGCACAAUAAACAAAAAGACAAAGAGAACAGAAAAGACCUACAAAGCUUUCUACUUAGCAAGAAUAGCACAAUGACAAUAAGGAGGAAACUCUAGAUGACUGCAUAUUCAUCCAAAAACUGGAAGGCUGUAGACGUUACACCAACAAGGUUUUGAGCUGUCCACGUAAGCGACUCAGUUGGUCAUAUCUAUAAAUGUUCAUUUGGGCCAGGUGGCUCUUUGGACUCCUCGAGCUACACAGAAGUAUUUCUAUUUGAUUCUAAUGAAUGUAUUUACGCAAGUUGUAUGCAUCGUACUCAGGGAACCAUCAAGAGAAGGUGUCUAUGGCAUUGACCAGAGGUUCAGGUCCAAAAAGUAAAAAUCAAGAUCAAGAUUUUGUUUAAACCAACCAGCUGAGUAUUUUAUGACUGAGACUAUUGAUACUGAACUGGUUGAUUGAAACUAAAUCUUGUUCUGGAUUUUCACUUCCUGGCCACGAACCAUCUACCUCUGGGAUUAACCUUUGUCUGCCCCAUUUAUAGAGAAGCUCUGUAGCAGACCUUGAUGACUCCCAUUUUUCCUAUUAUUACCCAUCCUUGGCCACCUCUCUUGUUUUACUAAUUAAAAGUAACAUCCACCCCCUAACAUUGACUUGUUACGUCAGAUGGAAUCAACUUUGUGUCAGGGGGCCUGAGGCUUGUUGGCUCUAACGAGCCUAAGAUUCUAAUUAGACACCAAAAAGGGAGGACGUGGUGGAAAGAGCCCCACUGUGAUUUUUGUCGCCUUGAGGCUGACGAUAUUUAUAUACCGUUCAUCCUAAACAUUGUGGAGGUGAGACAAGCAUGUCUCUGGUCCCAGGCUAGUCUGUUCUUCUCAUCACAGUCAAAAUCAGCCUGGGAUUGUGAUGUCACUCACUGGUGUGCUUAAACCAGAAUCAGUCUUGCAAUGGAAACACUGCAUUUUCUUCAUUUUGGGUUGUGUAUGGGCAUGCAUGCUUUUACUGAUAAUAAAGUUGUCGCAUAAAUUUCUUGAGCUUGAAUUAAUAUUUGUGUUGCUAGAAAAUGGUGAUACCUUCCUACAUUUGAUUAUCCUGGCUAAGUCUAAAUAACUUAAAUUAGACUGAGAGAAUCCAUUAUCCAUCCAUCCAUCUUCUGUAGAUGUUUGUCCUAUUCAGGGUGCUGGGGAGUCUGGAGCCUAUCCUGGAGACUACGGGCGCAAGGCAGGGAACCACCCAGAUGGGAACAUGGAGAGAAUCCAUUAACAACAACAACAAUAAUAAUAAUAAUAAUAAUAAUAAUAAUAAUAAUAAUAAUAAUAGCUAACACUUUAUUGAUCCCAUUGGAGAAAUUCUCUUUAAGCUUCCCCCAACUUGCUCUUUGUAGAGUGGCCUGGCUGUGAAGAGGUGCCACCUGUUGCGGUGCCCAGGGGGGUGGGUCAAGGGUCUUUCUCAAGGACCUGCAGACGUGUCGAAGCCGGGUUUGAACCAGCGGCCCUCCGAUCCCAGGCACACAAGCUUGGCCCACUGAGCUCUGUAGCUUCUGAAAAUACAUGCACUUCUCCGUGAAUGAGCAGUCUCGUAUGAAGAGCUUUUUAUGUUUUUUGGAGGAUCGCAUACCUUUGCAGAACUUGUGUUAAAGCUGGAAAACCAGACACAAACAGACCUUCAGCCAUCCGACAAAAGAGCUCUGCACUUUGUACUUUAAUUUGUCAUUGUCUUUUGCAGUUGUUCCCCUGUGAGCUGCACUUGUCAUUUAUGUGAAUCAUCCCUGAAAAGGCUGUUCUGACAAAAACUGCCACAGUGCCUCAACCAGACAAUAGAUGGGGGUGGGGGACGUCAAACACAUCAGGAUAUCGAUUGUGAUGAUAUCCAAGCGGGCAUGGGACAGCAAGGGCUGGCACCUCGCGGUUUGUUGGAAGUGACAUGGCACCGACUUGGGCCACAUCAUAGCAGACAGAGAGCUGAAGCGUGAGAAGAGAUGGCCGACUCAUGAGGGACUUGUGUCAGUAACGCAUUCGAUGACAUAAGUGGUGUCACUGAAGCUUUGUGUUAGCAGGAGAUCGGCAAUCCUCAGGAGGUGAGCGGCAAUCCUCAGGAGGUGAGCGGCAAUCCUCAGGAGGUGAGCGGCAAUCCUCAGGAGGUGAGCGGUAAUCCUCAGGAGGUGAGCGGCAAUCCUCAGGAGGUGAGCGGCAAUCCUCAGGAGGUGAGCGGCAAUCCUCAGGAGGUGAGCGGCAAUCCUCAGGAGGUGAGCGGCAAUCCUCAGGAGGUGAGCGGCAAUCCUCCUGUCUGAUCUCAGCAGACAUUCAGACUUUCUCCUGCUGGUGUCUUCCAACUUGCUCAGACAUGAGGCAGCGAUGAUAGCAAGCAGACCAGUGAACUCCGCCUUAGUAGGAAGGUAGGAGAGCCGCUUGAGCAGAACAACAGCUCAGCACCGGUGGCCUGACCUUCUCAGGACCCUCUCCAUCCCCUGCACCGUUCACUUUUGGAACUAAAUUACAUUUACAUGUAGGUGAUGCAAACUGUUGCGAAUUUGUGCAAACAAAAGACAGCAUGAAGACAUAAGAUAAAACCAAGAAAUUUCACAGAAUAAAACAAAGCACGUUCUAU